AAGGCUAAUUCCUCAUAAUCAUCCCCGAGUGAAGAUUCUUCCAAGUCUGCUUUCCAUAUGGACGAAUGUGUAGUUGAGUCAUAUAGAAAGUCAUUAUCCCCUAUCAGUGUUGAGGCAUUAACUUACACGCAUGAUUGGAUUCGAACCGGGAGAAAACAUAUACACAAAGAAGAGGAGGAAUCUGAAAUUUCAUGAGUUCACAAAAGAUGUUUAUAAGAAGAUCGAGCGAUUGAAGAUCAAAUGAAGUUUGAAGAUAAUUUAGACAUUGGUUUUAAUUGUUAACACUAUGGGUGGAAUGGUUUUGUAACGCCCGUAAAUUCUCGGGACGUGAAGACUCACCGUGUAUAGUUUGCACAUUGUUAAAACUCACUCCCCCUUCUUUUCACAAUUUUGACCACCACAAGGGAAAUCAAGGCUGCAGAACUUUAAUUCCAGGGUGAAGUUCGUAUGUGACGAAUUGAAGGAGUUGUGGAGAUUGGAUUUUGGGGCUUUUGCUUCUAAUCACCUCUAAGGAGAUUGUUGAUUGGUAGAGAUUUCAAACUUACCAUUGACACCCAUCAAGAAAGCGACAGUGCGAAGGUGAAUCAGCUAUUUGUAUUUCGGUUCUUAGUGCGAAGGUGAAUCAGCUAUAGAGUACGGUAGCCGGUCGUUAAGAAAGCUCGCAUCAUCCUACUUAGGCGGGGAUGAUGAAUCUGAUCUCGGCAGCAAGCAAGAUGAGUUUAAGUUCGGGCUGGAUGAUGAGGAUGCCGAUGGUAUUGUGCCAAAAAGCUUUCCCGUUUGUGAUGAUCGAUUUUCUCUGAAUUGAUACCCUGCCUUGACCGACAACUUAUCUACCAAAUGGGUACAAGGUGCGGUU
rnacentral:lncRNA from 1 species